GUUUUCCUACGUAACAAACCUGCACAUCCUGCACGUGUAUCCUGGAACUUAAAAUAAAAUAAAAUUUUUAAAAAGAAUAAAUAAAUAAAUAGCAGGCUAGUCCAAAUACGUUUAGAUCCUGGAAGAGAACUUGCUGGCUUUUCACCUCAGCAUGUAUGGGCCAAACUAAUAUAACAAGAAGUCUUGAGAGGAGUCGGUGGCCAAGCUCCAUGUCUUGCAACCAAUCAAUGCUGUGGGAUGGAAGGUGGAAUGUCAUGUGUCUGGUUUACAGCACUCGCGUAUCAGUUGGCAGUUAACGGAAGUGCUAUUGAUUGGUGAUAUGCCUGCUCCCCCUUCACCUUCUAUCAUGAUUGUAAACUUCCUGAGGCCAUCACCAAAGGCUGACGUUGGCACCAUGCUUCCUGUACAGUUUGCAGAACGAUGGAACAAAAUAAACAUCUUUUCUUUAUAAAUUA
rnacentral:lncRNA from 1 species